CACGUAGGGCGCAAGCGUUGUCCGGAAUUAUUGGGCGUAAAGAGCUCGUAGGCGGUCUGUUGCGUCCGCUGUGAAAGCCCGGGGCUUAACCCCGGGUCUGCAGUGGAUACGGGCAGGCUAGAGGUAGGUAGGGGAGAAUGGAAUUCCCGGUGUAGCGGUGAAAUGCGCAGAUAUCGGGAGGAACACCGGUGGCGAAGGCGGUUCUCUGGGCCUUACCUGACGCUGAGGAGCGAAAGCGUGGGGAGCGAACAGG
rnacentral:rRNA from 1 species